AUUGAACGCUGGCGGCAUGCCUUACACAUGCAAGUCGAACGGUAACGCGGGGCAACCUGGCGACGAGUGGCGAACGGGUGAGUAAUGCAUCGGAACGUGCCCGGUAGUGGGGGAUAACUACUCGAAAGAGCAGCUAAUACCGCAUACGACCUGAGGGUGAAAGGGGGGGAUCGCAAGACCUCUCGCUAUCGGAGCGGCCGAUGUCGGAUUAGCUAGUUGGUGGGGUAAAGGCCUACCAAGGCGACGAUCCGUAGCUGGUCUGAGAGGACGACCAGCCACACUGGGACUGAGACACGGCCCAGACUCCUACGGGAGGCAGCAGUGGGGAAUUUUGGACAAUGGACGCAAGUCUGAUCCAGCCAUGCCGCGUGCGGGAAGAAGGCCUUCGGGUUGUAAACCGCUUUUGUCAGGGAAGAAAUCUUCUGAGUUAAUACCUCGGGAGGAUGACGGUACCUGAAGAAUAAGCACCGGCUAACUACGUGCCAGCCGCCGCAGUAACAC
rnacentral:rRNA from 1 species